CAGGCCUAACACAUGCAAGUCGAACGGCAGCAUGGAGGAGCUUGCUCCUCUGAUGGCGAGUGGCGAACGGGUGAGUAAAGCAUCGGAACGUACCGUGUAGUGGGGGAUAACGUAGCGAAAGUUACGCUAAUACCGCAUACGCACUGAGGUGGAAAGCGGGGGAUCGUAAGACCUCGCGCUAUACGAGCGGCCGAUGUCAGAUUAGCUAGUUGGUAGGGUAAAGGCCUACCAAGGCGACGAUCUGUAGCGGGUCUGAGAGGAUGAUCCGCCACACUGGGACUGAGACACGGCCCAGACUCCUACGGGAGGCAGCAGUGGGGAAUUUUGGACAAUGGGGGCAACCCUGAUCCAGCCAUGCCGCGUGAGUGAAGAAGGCCUUCGGGUUGUAAAGCUCUUUCGGCUGGGAAGAAAUCGCACAGGCCAAUACCCUGUGUGGAUGACGGUACCAGCAUAAGAAGCACCGGUACU
rnacentral:rRNA from 1 species